GCGGCGGUGGCGGAACGGCAGACGCGCUAGUUUCAGGAGCUAGUGAGGGCAACCUCGUGGAGGUUCAAAUCCUCUCCGCCGCACCA
rnacentral:tRNA from 1 species